GGGGGCACCUGGUCCAGCAGCUCUGUGGGGCAUGGGCCCUUCCAGCAUCUGGCACCCUGGCUGAGCUGGGCCCCCAAGUCUGUCUGAGCAGAGGGCUUUGAGGGGCAGCAGCCACAGCGGCCUUGACACCCUCAGUCUGGACUUGCUGUGGCUCACUGUGGCUCCCUGUGGCUCCACUCAGCAGCUUUGGGGGCAACAGGG
rnacentral:lncRNA from 10 species